UACGGGGGGAGCAAGCGUUGUUCGGAUUUACUGGGCGUAAAGGGCGGGUAGGCGGCCACCGCAAGUCAGUUGUGAAAUCUCUGGGCUUAACCCAGAAAGGUCAACUGAUACUGCGGGGCUAGAGUGCAGAAGGGGCAACUGGAAUUCCUGGUGUAGCGGUGAAAUGCGCAGAUAUCAGGAGGAACACCGGUGGCGAAGGCGGGUCUCUGGGCCGUAACUGACGCUGAGGAGCGAAAGCGUGGGGAGCGAACAGG
rnacentral:rRNA from 1 species